rnacentral:rRNA from 1 species
AUUGAACGCUGGCGGCAGGCCUAACACAUGCAAGUCGAGCGGAUGAAGGGAGCUUGCUCCUGGAUUCAGCGGCGGACGGGUGAGUAAUGCCUAGGAAUCUGCCUGGUAGUGGGGGAUAACGUCCGGAAACGGGCGCUAAUACCGCAUACGUCCUGAGGGAGAAAGUGGGGGAUCUUCGGACCUCACGCUAUCAGAUGAGCCUAGGUCGGAUUAGCUAGCUGGUGGGGUAAAGGCCUACCAAGGCGACGAUCCGUAACUGGUCUGAGAGGAUGAUCAGUCACACUGGAACUGAGACACGGUCCGGACUCCUACGGGAGGCAGCAGUGGGGAAUAUUGGACAAUGGGCGAAAUCCUGAUCCAGCCAUGCCGCGUGUGUGAAGAAGGUCUUCGGAUUGUAAAGCACUUUAAGUUGGGAGGAAGGGCAGUAAGUUAAUACCUUGCUGUUUUGACGUUACCAACAGAAUAAGCACCGGCUAACUUCGUG